AUGAACGCUAGCUACAGGCUUAACACAUGCAAGUCGAGGGGCAUCAGGAAGAAAGCUUGCUUUCUUUGCUGGCGACCGGCGCACGGGUGAGUAACACGUAUCCAACCUGCCCUUUACUCGGGGAUAGCCUUUCGAAAGAAAGAUUAAUACCCGAUGGCAUAAUGAUUCCGCAUGGUUUCAUUAUUAAAGGAUUCCGGUAAAGGAUGGGGAUGCGUUCCAUUAGGUUGUUGGUGAGGUAACGGCCCACCAAGCCUUCGAUGGAUAGGGGUUCUGAGAGGAAGGUCCCCCACAUUGGAACUGAGACACGGUCCAAACUCCUACGGGAGGCAGCAGUGAGGAAUAUUGGUCAAUGGGCGCUAGCCUGAACCAGCCAAGUAGCGUGAAGGAUGAAGGCUCUAUGGGUCGUAAACUUCUUUUAUAUAAGAAUAAAGUGCAGUAUGUAUACUGUUUUGUAUGUAUUAUAUGAAUAAGGAUCGGCUAACUCCGUGCCAGCAGCCGCGGUAAUACGGAGGAUCCGAGCGUUAUCCGGAUUUAUUGGGUUUAAAGGGAGCGUAGGCGGGUUGUUAAGUCAGUUGUGAAAGUUUGCGGCUCAACCGUAAAAUUGCAGUUGAUACUGGCGACCUUGAGUGCAACAGAGGUAGGCGGAAUUCGUGGUGUAGCGGUGAAAUGCUUAGAUAUCACGAAGAACUCCGAUUGCGAAGGCAGCUCACUGGACUGCAACUGACACUGAUGCUCGAAAGUGUGGGUAUCAAACAGGAUUAGAUACCCUGGUAGUCCACACAGUAAACGAUGAAUACUCGCUGUUUGCGAUAUACAGUAAGCGGCCAAGCGAAAGCAUUAAGUAUUCCACCUGGGGAGUACGCCGGCAACGGUGAAACUCAAAGGAAUUGACGGGGGCCCGCACAAGCGGAGGAACAUGUGGUUUAAUUCGAUGAUACGCGAGGAACCUUACCCGGGCUUAAAUUGCAGUGGAAUGAUGUGGAAACAUGUCAGUGAGCAAUCACCGCUGUGAAGGUGCUGCAUGGUUGUCGUCAGCUCGUGCCGUGAGGUGUCGGCUUAAGUGCCAUAACGAGCGCAACCCUUAUCUUCAGUUACUAACAGGUCAUGCUGAGGACUCUGGAGAGACUGCCGUCGUAAGAUGUGAGGAAGGUGGGGAUGACGUCAAAUCAGCACGGCCCUUACGUCCGGGGCUACACACGUGUUACAAUGGGGGGUACAGAAGGCAGCUAGCGGGUGACCGUAUGCUAAUCCCAAAAUCCUCUCUCAGUUCGGAUCGAAGUCUGCAACCCGACUUCGUGAAGCUGGAUUCGCUAGUAAUCGCGCAUCAGCCACGGCGCGGUGAAUACGUUCCCGGGCCUUGUACACACCGCCCGUCAAGCCAUGGGAGCCGGGGGUACCUGAAGUACGUAACCGCAAGGAUCGUCCUAGGGUAAAACUGGUGACUGGGGCU
rnacentral:rRNA from 1 species